AGAGUUUGAUCAUGGCUCAGAGCGAACGCUGGCGGCAGGCUUAACACAUGCAAGUCGAGCGGGCGUAGCAAUACGUCAGCGGCAGACGGGUGAGUAACGCGUGGGAACGUACCUUUUGGUUCGGAACAACACAGGGAAACUUGUGCUAAUACCGGAUAAGCCCUUACGGGGAAAGAUUUAUCGCCGAAAGAUCGGCCCGCGUCUGAUUAGCUAGUUGGUGUGGUAACGGCGCACCAAGGCGACGAUCAGUAGCUGGUCUGAGAGGAUGAUCAGCCACAUUGGGACUGAGACACGGCCCAAACUCCUACGGGAGGCAGCAGUGGGGAAUAUUGGACAAUGGGCGCAAGCCUGAUCCAGCCAUGCCGCGUGAGUGAUGAAGGCCCUAGGGUUGUAAAGCUCUUUUGUGCGGGAAGAUAAUGACGGUACCGCAAGAAUAAGCCCCGGCUAACUUCGUGCCAGCAGCCGCGGUAAUACGAAGGGGGCUAGCGUUGCUCGGAAUCACUGGGCGUAAAGGGUGCGUAGGCGGGUCUUUAAGUCAGGGGUGAAAUCCUGGAGCUCAACUCCAGAACUGCCUUUGAUACUGAGGAUCUUGAGUUCGGGAGAGGUGAGUGGAACUGCGAGUGUAGAGGUGAAAUUCGUAGAUAUUCGCAAGAACACCAGUGGCGAAGGCGGCUCACUGGCCCGAUACUGACGCUGAGGCACGAAAGCAUGGGGAGCAAACAGGAUUAGAUACCCUAGUAGUCC
rnacentral:rRNA from 1 species